rfam:Bacillus enclensis strain SGD-1123 genomic scaffold Scaffold2, whole genome shotgun sequence.
AACACCUUUAAUACGGUCCCGUGAGGCUGAGAAGGAGCAAUGUACGACCUGCGACAGGCGUGCAGUGAUUAUUAACGAUAAGUGUGCCCUCUCAUCCAAACGGUGAGAGGGUUUUUUUA